GAAACUUAAAGGAAUUGGCGGGGGAGCACCACAAGGUGUGAAGCUUGCGGUUUAAUUGGAGUCAACGCCGGAAAUCUCACCGGGGGCGACAGCAGAAUGAAGGUCAGAUUGAAGGUCUUACCAAACAAGCUGAGAGGAGGUGCAUGGCCGUCGCCAGUUCGUGCCGUGAGGUGUCCUGUUAAGUCAGGCAACGAUCGAGACCCGCGUCCCCUGUUGCCACCGGCCUUGAGCCGAGCACACUGGGGAGACUGCCGCCGAUAAGGCGGAGGAAGGAGCGGGCCACGGCAGGUCAGUAUGCCCCGAAUCCCCCGGGCUACACGCGAGUUGCAAUGGCAGGUACAGAGGGUCCCGACUCUGAAAGGAGAAGGAAAUCCCGAAAGCCUGCCGUAGUUGGGAUCGAGGGGUUGUAACUCACCCUCGUGAACAUGGAAUACCUAGUAACCGCGUGUCACUACCGCGCGGUGAAUACGUCCCUGCUCCUUGCACACACCGCCCGUCGUUCCAUCCAAGCGAUGCUUGGGUGAGGCGUGGUCCUUUGGGCUGCGUCGAAUCCAGGUUUCGUGAGGAGGGAAAAGUCGUAACAA
rnacentral:rRNA from 1 species